UACGUAGGGUGCGAGCGUUAAUCGGAAUUACUGGGCGUAAAGCGUGCGCAGGCGGCUUUGCAAGACAGAUGUGAAAUCCCCGGGCUCAACCUGGGAAUUGCAUUUGUGACUGUACGGCUAGAGUGUGUCAGAGGGGGGUAGAAUUCCACGUGUAGCAGUGAAAUGCGUAGAGAUGUGGAGGAAUACCGAUGGCGAAGGCAGCCCCCUGGGAUAACACUGACGCUCAUGCACGAAAGCGUGGGGAGCAAACAGG
rnacentral:rRNA from 1 species